UACGAAGGGGGCUAGCGUUGCUCGGAAUCACUGGGCGUAAAGCGCACGUAGGCGGACUCUUAAGUCAGGGGUGAAAUCCUGGAGCUCAACUCCAGAACUGCCUUUGAUACUGGGAGUCUUGAGUUCGGGAGAGGUGAGUGGAACUGCGAGUGUAGAGGUGAAAUUCGUAGAUAUUCGCAAGAACACCAGUGGCGAAGGCGACUACCUGGCCUGUUCUUGACGCUGAGGCGCGAAAGCUAGGGGAGCAAACGGG
rnacentral:rRNA from 1 species